GAAAGGCUAAAACUCAUUACUGAACAAGACGCAGCGACAACGGAAACCGAGCAACGAGCGGAAAGCCAUCUGUGUUGAAAAUUCUCACAUCCAUCGUCUGUCUCUUCUGAAAUGAAGGUCUACUUCUUGUUAACCUUGCUUUCCGUUUCCACCAUUGCCUACGGAGGAACAGGGUGAGUUUGCAACAAUAAGCCUUGUGCGAGGGCGAUGCCUUUGGGGACUGUUACGCUAAUCUUUUAUAUUUUCGUUGUUUUACGCAGAUCCCCACAGGGUACCGUGAAUGAACGAGUUCGUUUGCAUGAGGCUCAGGUAGGUGCACAUGAAAAGGCAGGAGAAAUGCUGGUGACUUUGGGUCGGCUGCUUCAGGGCGAGAACGUUGCUUUAACCAAGCAGGCCAAAAGCGACUUCAUCAAGAUCAUCCAUGCUUUGUCUGACAAUGCCGAAGACCAACGUGACGGUGGCUCCGAGUACUUCUUGCCCAUUCUCGUCCGCGCUAUAAGGCGCAUAGUGGUCCGCAAUGAGCGAAAGAACAGAGGAUAAAAAUGUGUUCGCCUCGUUCAGAUAGGAUGAAUAGGUUGUGUGCGAAUUGAAGAUUGCAAUAAAUUGUGGUAAAGACACGGUC